CAGAGUUCUCGCCCUCGCGGGUAGACCUCCCACCCACUGUGAUCGCUACCGUCGUUGCUUUGGCGGGCCGCCGGGCCCCGCCCGGCCACCGGCCCCGGCUGGUGCGCGCCCGCCAGAGGCACCGCAAACUCGUGAUGUCAGCGUCGUCUGAGCACUAUACAAUAGUUA
rnacentral:misc_RNA from 1 species